UUUUUUUUUUUUCUUUUAGUUAUUUAUCUUGAUGGUUGUGAGGAAGAGUAUAGAACCCAACCAAAACCAGCGAAGAAUAUAUAUUUCCACAUAUGUACAAAUCACAUAUACGUAUAGAUUCACACAUACUCAAACACUAGUCACACACACACACACGCACACACACACAAACACAUACACACACAAACACACACACACACACACACACACACACACACACACACACACACACACACACACACACACACACACACACAUAUAUAUAUAUAUAUAUAUAUAUAUACAUAUAUAUACGUUCAAACAUAGACAUGCAAACUCAAAUAUGGAGUUAACCUGAAAAGACUAAUAUGUUACAGAUGCGCUCUACGAAAAUUUUAUCAAUAGUUGCUUAUACAUAUCUACACGUAUAUCUUAAUGCAUAGCUGCAUAUCAAUAGACACUCUUGCAUAAACACAAGCAUACGUGUAACACAUACAACAUCAAUCCUUCGUCAAACUCAGUACUAUAGCUAUACAUAUACAGUUCUCGUAAACUUUUGUACGUUCAUUGAUAAUAUUCACCGCAUAUAUCUCCAACGCUGUGGAUCACUUGUGAACGGUGAAAGAUGUAUGGGAUGAAGAUUCUUUGCAUAUGAGAAUAAAUCUUCUAAUCUGUGCGGCAGAAGUUGUCAUGUCAUCUUAGCUAUAUUUUUUGAGGCAGACAUACCGUUAGCUACUUUCUACAUAUACAUACAUAUAUACAUAUGUGCGUAGAAACACGCACACGCAUACACACACAAACACAUAUAUAAAUAUAUAUCAUUAAUAACCUUCUCUAUAAAUGAAGCUAUAACAUUUCAUUUGAUGCUUUUCUUUUCACGAACUAAGAAGAUACAUUGCGGAACUAUUAUUUUAGUGAGUUGUGCCUAUUUGUCACUCGAAGAGAUAUAUCUGUACCGCCAGAUGCUCCUGAACCAGUUGUUAAGUAUCCCACCCGUAAGGCAUCAAUGCCAGAUGUGUCGAAACAAUUGUAGUUAUUCAUAAAAAUCCUUGUAACUCCUUUCUUUCGUCUCUCAUUAACCAGGAGUAGCUAUGUGGUAAGAAGCUUGGUUCCUGGUUGAGUCCCACUGCGUGUCAUCUUGCGUGUUACCUUGGGCAGGUGUCUUCUACUUUACCCUCGGACCAACCAAUACCAUGUGAGUGGAUUUCGUAGACGG
rnacentral:lncRNA from 1 species